GGGCCGGUAGCUCAGUUGGUAGAGCGUCGCGUUCGCAAUGCGAAGGUCGUGGGUUCGACUCCCAUCCGGUCCACCA
rnacentral:tRNA from 1 species